AUCACAUUCUUUCUGCACUUCUCACAACCAAGUUGUUUUCCAUGGCCUAAUCUCAUCAAGGUACGCCAGUUUUUUCUUAGAAGACAUUAUAUGAGAAUUGUUUUGUAAUCUGCGUGUUUGAUCUGAGGAUAAUAUGCUGUAUAUAUAGGAAAUAAAGGGCUGUGUGUUUAAGAUAUUCUAAAUCAAUACUGUUAGAUUAUAUAAGGCGUGUAUAAUGCCCCGAUGGGCCACCCACGCCCGCUCUCUCGGCCCGUGAGCCCCAUCUCAUCCGACGGUCGGUCCGUUAAUUUCUGAAGGUUCGAAAUCAUUGUUUACUGACCCUGUAAUCACCACCCGAUUUUUUCCCAUGCUUUGCCCUCACUCGCACGCUAUCGCGAAUCACUUCCCGAUAGGUCACCCAUCCUUCUACUACUCCAGCUCAAGCACGCUUAACUCUGGAGUUCUUUCAGGAUGUGCUCCGGAAAAGGUAAGUCAACUUUGGUGACAUAGGUAGCCAAAUCAAUUUUCUUAAGCCUUUUCACAUAUCACAACUCGGGAUGUUACAAUUCACCCCCUCUCAAAGAACGCAACGUCCUCGUUGCGCUCCCACGACAGGUCUCAAGACGCCUCUCAGGUCAGAACUGAGAUGGCUAACCAGCUCUGAUACCACUUAUAAUGCCCAGACCGCCCACAGCUAAUGGGCCACCCAUGCCCGCUCUCUCGGCCCGUGGGCCCCAUCCUAUCCGACGGUCGGUCCGUUAAUUUCUGAAGGCUCGAAAUCAUUGUUUACUGACCCUGCAAUCACCACCCGAACUUUUCCCAUGCUUUGGCCUUACUCGCACGCUAUCGCGAAUCACUUCCCGAUAGGUCAUAUAUGCGUUGCAGUUUGAAUAAAAGAAACAACAAAAAUAUUGAUUUUAAUUAAAAGCAUAUUGUUGGACCCAAUUUCGGUCAAUACAUUAAUGGACUGCGACCAACGAUAUGGGCCGUGAGGAACUAAGGCCCAUAGCAAGCGUGCGAGCUCGAGGCGGAGCCAUCGAAGUCCCGAAGAUCGCGGAACAAGAGACGAAGAUCGCGGAGCAGUUACGAAGGUCACGAGGUCGACUUACUAUAAAGGAAGGAGAACUGACAUGAAGAGGGACA
rnacentral:lncRNA from 1 species